UUAUGUAAUUACACAUAAAUACAUGUAUUUGUAUAUGUAUAUGUUUUUGUUUUCUUUCAUUACAAAAAUUGCAGAUAAUUGUUCUCCUUCUUCUUAAACCGUUAUGUUUUAAAUGACUGGCGUUAUACCAGAUUGCUUGUAUUUCUCCAACAUGCCUGCUGAGUUUCUGCUGAAUGAAUCCUAAAAAUAGGGCGUGGAGCUGGACUCAAAUUUGAUAAUUGUUGAAUUAAAGUCAAAAGUGCAAAACCUAAAGGAUUUUUAGAUGGCUUGGCAUCAUUUUCUUCUGCUAAGGGAAAAUAACCUGAUGAAUUUAACUUUACUUUUUCUUUGGUUUGUUAUUUUGUUUGUAUUUACCUUUAAUUCCUGUAAAGCACUUUGUAUUUUCCUUGUUGCUGUUGAUGUGCUAUAUA